rnacentral:lncRNA from 1 species
UUCUGCCUCCCAAGUGCUGGGAUUAAAGGUGUGCGCCACCACUGCCCGGCACUUUCUUCCAUUUUUAAAUUUAGUAUUUGCUUUGUAAUUUCUUCAUAAUUUCCUCCUUAACCUAUGGGUUAUUUAAUAAUAUAUAUAAUAUAGGUUCUUCACAUUUUUCCUUAAUAGGUUCUCUUAUGUUCUUGAUGUGUAUUUUUCUUACAUAUGGCCAGAAAACACAGUCCAUGCAUGGCUCUGAUUAUUUGAGCUGUCUGAGACCUCUUUGAUUCAUGAUACAUGGAUCUUUAUGAUUGCCUAUUAUAAUAUACACUCAAAACUGUGUUUUUGGUUGGAGUAGACAAAGCUUUGUGUAUACACACAGAUGUGAACUCACUUCUACAGUGGACGUAGUUCAAUCAGUAGAUUCCUGUUCAUGUAUUGAGUAAUUUGGUUCAUAUAGUUUUGUCCCUGAAUUUUAAAUAUGUAAAUAUAUUUCUGUUAUAAUACAUAUAUUUUAAUAUAUAAACUAUGUUUAUAUAUUACAUAUCUACAUAUUUUAAAGUUUACUACUUUUUGUGUGUAUAUGUUUGUGCACACACUGUGUCAUAAUGCAAGUGUACAUUCAUGUGUGUAGGUCAGAGGACAACUUGUGGGAGUCAGUUCUCUCCUUCCUACUCUGCAUUUCUGGCAUCAAACUCAGGUCAUCAGACUUGGCAGCUAACACCUUAUCUACUGAGUCAUCUUGCAUGUUGUGAUAGUAUUGUUAAAUGCAUAUAGGGUUGGAUCCUUUUGUCUUACUGAUUUAUUGUUUCUGUUUCUCUGUCUGGUGUGUGUGACUCCUUCAUCUUUUAUGAUGAAUUUUCAUUGUAGAUUCUAUUUGGUUUAAUGUUAGAAUUGCCUUCCCACCCCCACCCCCUACUUUUGGUUUCUGUGGUUCUGAAAUGGCUUUUUCUCUUCCAUUGCUUCCAAUCCUUCAAUGUGCUUGGCUUUGAAUGCUCUUCUUGUAGAUAUGCAGUUCUGAGUUUCAUUGUUCAUGCCUGGCUUUAAGGCUUUUUGCUUAGUGUAUUUAAACUGGUGCACAUCUGUGUCACUGCAGUUAUGUUAGGGCUUCUGGCCCCUUUUUUGCAAUUCCUGCUUCUUUUCUUUUCUUUUCUUUUCUUUUCUUUUCUUUUCUUUUCUUCUUUCUUUUUCUUUUCGUUUUUUUCAAGACAGGGAUUCUCUGUGUAGCACCCCCCUGGCUGUCCUGAAACUCAUUCUGUAGAUCAGGCUGGCCUUGAACUCAUAAAUAUCCAUUUGUCUUCGCCUCCCUAGUACUGGGAUUAAAGGCCUGCACAUCCUGGCAGUGUCCUCUGAUUUUUAAAAGUAAGAAAUUAAGCUUCUCUGAAUGCACAGGGAAACAAAUACAAAUCCCCACCAAUCAGUUCUGUGGCUGUGGCAGUUUCCGUCUUAGCGAUCUCACAGACUCAUUCCUCAGUGAUGGGGUCACCAUGAGACCUCUCAAGGCCUAACUUCAGUCCUGCUCUGUAGCAAUUUGUCUUCUCGUCCCAAGUUUACUGAGCUAGUAAAGAUAUUUCCUGUGCUAGAUAUGCAGUUAGUAGAGCUCUUGCCUAGUCCACGGGAAGUCCUGGGUUUCAUUCCUAGCAGCACAUAAAUGGGACAUGGAAGCUUGUGCCCACAAUCCCAGCACUUGGGAAGUCGAUGCAGGGGCAUUGGGAAUUCAGGAGUAUCCUCAACUACAUAAUAGGUUGGAGGCUAGCCUGGGCUAUGUGAAACUCU